UUCUCAGCAACCUGGAGUCACGGCACUCUACCCCGCCUUCCCACCUGACGGGAACAAAGGAUUAUUCAUGAAAAAUGGAGAAGUACAGUGUACGUCAACCUGCAUCCUUCCCCGCCCACACACUGUGACAGGGCUGAAAUCCAUAGCCCAUUCUGCUUGAUUGAUACCAUCAAACUAACCAAGGUCACAGCUUCCACCAAGCAGCCCAGCCGCCACUGCCAGCAGGCAGGCAGCCACCACAUCAUAGAGAUAUACAGGGGGGCAUGAGUGAGAUGGAUGGAGGAAAAGUGGAGCCAGUCGACACCACUAGCUACUUACCUGACUGACUGUCGCUCCUCAAUGUUCAUGAUUCAUUAAGUCAACCACCAGUUUGGAAAAUGUCACCAUGCUGGAGGGGGAAACCACAAGAAAGAAUCCUCUCUUCGCUGUUGUGCUUUCUUAGCGUGUGAGACUGUGCACAGUACCUUUUAAACAUGAAUGUAGGAGUAUUCUUAUCUUUGGCAAAUAGCCAAAGAUAAGAUGUAUUGAUUGAUUGAUGUAUUGAUUGUGCUGUCAUCCUGGGUGGCAGGUAGCAUAGUGGUUAAGAAAAAAAAGAAAAAAAUCUGAAAGGUUGCUGGUUUGAAUCCCCCAGCUGACUAGGUGAAAAAUCAUAAGAGAAUCUGCUAAAAUCUUAUAUUACAUCAUGUGUUGAUCUAUAUGAUUUGCUGUAACCUGGUAUCAGAACCUUGUUCAUUAUCAAGUACUUUGCUAAACAGUGUAUCUCUUAUUUAAUUAAUUCUCUCAAGUUCAAACUAAGCACAACAGAAGACCCUGGCACACUGAAAUAAACCAGAUAGAAUUUAACAGCUUAAAUAAUCUUAGAAUCCCAUCCAUCUAGCUCAGCGGCGUGAGGCCUCUGUGAGGUGAUGUUGGACAGGGUCACAGCGGUCAGACACUGCUCUAAACACUGCCCUAUUGUUUCUGCUUGUCUUCCGGCCCGGCUGUUAGCUCUGGUCUGUGUUUGAUGCAGUCCAGACUCUGCCGUGUGUGGUGGGUGUGCCUCAUACUCAGCCCUGUGACACUAGACACAGACAGACACCAACAAGAAGGAAGGAAGGAAGGAAGUGGAUCUCAGAGUCCACUCAGCCACCAGCCAAAUGGCCGUCCAGCAGCCAGCUCACACUAGUCAACAAACAGUUCAAGGGGUUUGUUCUGCUUUCUCAGGCUUCCAGCAGAGGAGAUGGGAGAGUCAACUAAAAUAAAUUCCUGGGUAGCCCUUUCCUGCAGUCAAAUGGCUAGUGGCAUCACGGGUGGAAUAUUUUUGAUAUUUUUUAUCAUUUCAUAAUUAAUCAACUUUUUAUUUUAUUUUUUAAAAAUCUGCCUAAAAUCUGGUGAUUCUAUGUCAAACUGUUUUGUUAUAUUUCAGUCUUCUGUGAUGUGUAUAAAGAGUCAUACUGGAAUGGAAAUUCAAAAUCGAAUACAUUUCAACUCAGUAUUUGA